UGGGGAAUAUUGCACAAUGGGCGGAAGCCUGAUGCAGCGACGCCGCGUGAGGGAUGACGGCCUUCGGGUUGUAAACCUCUUUCAGCCCUGACGAAGCGUGAGUGACGGUAGGGGCAGAAGAAGCGCCGGCCAACUACGUGCCAGCAGCCGCGGUAAGACGUAGGGCGCAAGCGUUGUCCGGAUUUAUUGGGCGUAAAGAGCUCGUAGGCGGUCUGUCGCGUCGUCCGUGAAAACCUGUGGCUUAACUACAGGCUUGCGGUCGAUACGGGCAGGCUAGAGUGCGGUAGGGGAGACUGGAAUUCCUGGUGUAGCGGUGAAAUGCGCAGAUAUCAGGAGGAACACCGGUGGCGAAGGCGGGUCUCUGGGCCGCUACUGACGCUGAGGAGCGAAAGCGUGGGGAGCGAACA
rnacentral:rRNA from 1 species